UUCUUUCUUUUCUUCUUCUUUCUUAUUCUCUUUUAUUUUUCUCUCUUUCUUCUCCUUCUUCUUCUUCUCUGGCGAUUUCGAGAGGAAUUAUCCGAUGAGAACCCUUGUAGAAAAUUUUGAGAUCAAUUAAUCGAGUGGGGUACCGAUGAGUUCUUAGUUUGGGUUUGGUUAGAAUCAACGAUUGAGUUGAAGAGAUGUGUUCCUGUGAAAGUUAGGGUUUCCGUGAGAUGAAGUUAUGGAGGAGUUGAUUAAUUAAAAGAGGAUUUGAGUAGUUGGUGAUGAAUAACAAAUCGGGUUGGUGUUUAAUUGAAGUUCUGAAGUUGAUUCGUUGAUAAAUUUAUAGGUUAGGGUUUCAUGAGAAGAACUCAAAGAAGAAUUAGAAGAUGAAAUUGAUAUCUUAGGAAGGGGUUUUGAGAUGGGAUUGUUGACAUGAAUACUUUUGGAUGCUGUUUUGGGAUCGAAUUAGAUAACUCUUGAUUUGGGAAUUGAAUUAGAGUCUGUUCAAGAACUGAUGGUGAUGAUGGAACAUUUUGGUGAUGGAUGAACUGAAUCGAGGUAAUUGUUCUUAUCAGUAAAUUUAGUUUAGUUAUUCAUUUCAGUUUUGGGUUUUGAAGUUGUGGAUGAUUAAUGAAUAUUAUGAUGUUCAAUUGAAGUUGAAGUUAAUGGAGUUAUUGAGUGAAGAGUAUAUGAAAAUAUAACUGUGAUUGUAAUUGAGAGUUCUAGAGUUACAGUUGCAGUUUGGUGAUGUUGGUGGUCUGCGUUAGUGGUUAUCUGGGUGUUGAAUUGCAGGUUUUGUGAUUGGUUUGUUUGGUUCCAGUUCAUGGAGUAGGCAAUGAAGUUAUGGAUGCUACAGAUUUAGUAGUUUGAACUAUAAUGAGGUAUUGAGAUGUGUUACAGGUAUGCGAAUGGUGUUGUUGUGUUGAGGUGAAGGGUAUGAUUAAAGUUCUAGAGGGUGGCUGAUUUAAGUGGUGUUAUGGAUGUUGUACAGAUUGCAGCUGCAAUUGAAAGGGGAAAACUGAUGAUAAUGGAUUGAGAUUCGGCUGUGGUUGAGUUGAAGUUUAUAUAAACGAUUAUAAUGGAUAGUCUUAUUGUAGUCUAGUGACCUUUAGUAACCUGAGAUGAUGAUGUUAUGACAAUGAAGUCACAAUUGAUGUGACUUAGAGAAGUAAACGUAAUGGUGGGUUGGUAUUGUUGUAUAUGAGGUCGUGGUGGUGUUACUAAACUUGAGGAGAACUUGGAAGAAUGGUUGGAGAACAUUGGAGUGUAAACUGAGUGCUGAUUUGGUGUCAGUAUUAAAUUAUUGUUGUUAUUGAACUAGGUAGUUCUGAUUUGGUUAAGAUGGAUGUAGGGUUUGUUUGAAUGUGCAGAAGUGGUAAUGUUGUUAGUGUUUAGAUUCUUGAGGUUGCAGGGGUAUAAGUAAGAGCUGAGUUUGUGUUGUGCAAAGUUGGGUUGUAGUUGGAGUGAACUUACAGUUUUUAGUGGAGUUAAAUCUCUCUUGUAGAAAGUUGUUGCUAGAAGCUGCAAUUGCAGGAUGAACCAGUGGAUCGUGGAUCUCGAGGUAGGCGUGGAUUGUCAUCAAAAGAGUUUCAGAGAUAAAUCAGAGUUGCGCUGCGGAAGUUUUGUGGCGUUGAGUCUUCUGCUAUGUUAUUAUGUUGUAUAUUCUAUUCGUAAACCAAAUGACUAUUGUAUAUGUAUCAUUUGAGAGGAGAUCUUGUAUAUAUAAAUAUUUCUGAGUGGGGCUAGCUUUGGGUUAAAUUUUAUAGCAGAUUUCUUAAUCAAUGUUUAAGUAAAUGAUUUAGA